UAGCCCAUGGUGCUAAAUCGCGUCAUUUGACGUCAUUUAGCCCAUGGUGCUAAAUUUUGCAUUUCUCGAAGCUCGGCUAACUUAGCCCGGGCUAAAUCGUGGGCUAAAUCGCGUCAUUUGACGUCACAAAUUUAGCCACCCCUUUGGCCAUGGGCUAAAUCGUGGGCUAAAUUAGCCCACUGAUUUUGACCAAUCAGAAAGCAGAUUAUCAAUAUGAACAAUAAUUGUUUUAUUUUCUGCAUCGCGAGAACGAGCCGACGAUAUGGACGGGAAGGGGGUCGUAAUGCCGUAUUUAUCUUCACAUCUUCGAACAAAACCGCACUACCUAAGCCACAAUACUGAAAAUGGCUAAUGUUCUCCAACAGUGUCGUCACUCAUCAUUGUUGAGUAUGGAGUAUGGAAAGAGAGAUACUUGAACAUGUUGGAAUGUCACCUUGAGGACCAAGAUAUGGGGAGAAUAAUGCUUGAAUGGUGCACAGAUGAGUCUUUUCAACUCUGGUAUGCUUCUCCAAGAAAACGGCCAUGCACAUCACCAGAAUGCUAGAACAGGAUCAGGGAGUGAAUAUCUGAGGAAGGGUUCUUUUCCAGUACUUUGAUACAAUUGUCUUCACUUCAUUUUUUUGCUGUUGGUAUCCUUUGCUCUUCUUUUUUGAUGAAUUCCUGCCUGCAUUCUCUCGUCAAUCAAUCAAGAUAGCGUGCUAUUUCGCAUUCCAUUGGCCAUGUCAUAAUCUACGCAUGAACAUGGACACUGAGUUAAAACUGGUAGCUUGCUCAAUCCCGUACAUCUCUUGACUGUCACCAGCUAGUUAUUCCUAGAGGUUUUAAAGCUACUGUACCACAGCCAAUUUGGACAGCACCAUCUCAAGACAUAAACUCCUGUACCUUGUAACACCAGGAUGUAAUAAAUUGACAGGUUUAUUACUUAUUUGCAAAGAAAAUAAUAUUUUCUUAGUUGUUGGGGUGUUUCCACGCAUUCCUGUAUUUCAAUAGUGAUCUAAUGACCAUCUUGCUUUUAAAACCCAAAUUCACAAUAUUUUUCUUGUUUGAUAAAAGGUUAGGUACUUCUGGGUGGAUAUAAAUGACACACAUGUUGGGUUAAUAAGCAACAGUUGUAUCAUACUUAACUCAGUUUUGCCAAGAGAUGGACUGACUUUAGGUCAUUCUUAUUAUUCAAGUCUAUUGUCUCACUUAUCUUUUUUUUAAUUAAGAAUCAAUGCUUAAAUCCUCAUGGUUUCAAUUUUAACCCUAUAGACUGGGCUAUUUCAACGUCUAAGAAGACUGGGGGGGGGGGGGGGCUGAUUCAGCCCCCCCCCCCCGCCACCCCCAGGUCUUCUUAGGAUUAAGACCUGUUUAUUCAUAAAAUAGUCACUUGCCUUGGCAUGUGCAGCUCCCUAAUGUGUCAAAUUUAAAUCAUAUAAUUUCAUUUUGGUGAAUUAAUAUCCUUUUACUUUCCAGCUUUUCGUAGGCACUUCGAUACACUGAAAUGAGCACUAUAUAAAUGCAAACUACCAGUAAUAUUAUCAAUUUAAUAUUACUAUUAUUAUGAUUGAAUCAUCCUUCUUUAGUGUCUUUCAGAAAUAUAUUUGACAUUUUUUCCGAGUAUCUUAUCAUUCAUAGUGAUAAAUGUAGACAGUAAAUUAAAUUUUUUGUGUCAUAUAAACGACUUUUGAUCUAAUUAAAAAAACAACAAUGUACUGAAUAAACUAAUCUAUCUACUAUAAAUGUACAUACGUUUUGUUUAUAUAUUGUAUUCCAGGUGUGUUAUCAGCAGAAAACAUGAUUUUUUUUCUCUCUCUCUCCAUGUGCCUGUGUUCAGUUAUUACAGGAGGCAAAAAAUAAAUUAAUAUAAGAAAUA